rnacentral:rRNA from 1 species
UACAGAGGUCUCAAGCGUUUGUUCGGAUUCAUUGGGCGUAAAGGGUGUGUAGGUGGCGCCGUAAGUCGGGUGUGAAAUUUCGGAGCUUAACUCCGAAACUGCAUUCGAUACUGCGGUGCUUGAGGACUGGAGAGGAGACUGGAAUUCAUGGUGUAGCAGUGAAAUGCGUAGAGAUCAUGAGGAAGACCAGUGGCGAAGGCGGGUCUCUGGGACAGUUCCUGACACUGAGACACGAAGGCCCAGGGGAGCAAACGGG